rnacentral:rRNA from 1 species
AACGAACGCUGGCGGCAGGCUUAACACAUGCAAGUCGAGCGCCCCGCAAGGGGAGCGGCAGACGGGUGAGUAACGCGUGGGAAUCUACCCAUCUCUACGGAAUAACGCAUGGAAACGUGUGCUAAUACCGUAUACGCCCUUCGGGAGAAAGAUUUAUCGGAGCUGGAUGAGCCCGCGUUGGAUUAGCUAGUUGGUGGGGUAAAGGCCUACCAAGGCGACGAUCCAUAGCUGGUCUGAGAGGAUGAUCAGCCACACUGGGACUGAGACACGGCCCAGACUCCUACGGGAGGCAGCAGUGGGGAAUAUUGGAAAAUGGGCGCAAGCCUGAUCCAGCCAUGCCGCGUGAGUGAUGAAGGCCCUAGGGUUGUAAAGCUCUUUCACCGGUGAAGAUAAUGACGGUAACCGGAGAAGAAGCCCCGGCUAACUUCGUGCCAGCCGCCGCAGUAAUAC